CGGCCUAUGAUGAUUCAAUUGAAUUGGAAUUACCGUCCGAAUGUAUUUAUUUUGUUGAAAAAUUCUGGCUGUUUCUGAGGCUUUGG